rnacentral:sRNA from 1 species
CAGAAAACAAAGAUCUCCUGUUGGCUCUCAGGCUUCCUCCUGCUCUAGGUGACACUUGCACCAUGGCCGGCUAUGCCCGCUUGAAGAAUGUCCUUCUGGCACUCCAGACCCGCCUGCAGCCCCUCCAAGAAGGAGACAGCAGACAAGACCCUGCCUCCCAGAAGCGCCUCCUGGUGGAAUCUCUGUUCAGGGACUUAGAUGCAGAUGGCAGUGGCCACCUCAGCAGCUCUGAACUGGCUCAGCAUGUGCUGAAGAAGCAGGACCUGGAUGAAGACUUACUUGGUUGCUCACCAGGUGACCUCCUCCGAUUUGACGACUACAACAGUGACAGCUCCCUGACCCUCCGCGAGUUCUACAUGGCCUUCCAGGAAAGCUGAUGAAUUUGUUCUACAACAAGCCUGAGCUUUAAGAAAAGACUAAACGGAGAGUGGAUGGGGCCAGAGAGGGCUUUCCCUGUUCCUUUUGAAUAAAGAUUUUUCUCGCUGUUU